AUUUAGUAGUUAUUUGUGCUUAAAUAUCAAAGAAUUGAUGUUUUGUUGAAUUUUGGCUGCAGAUAUAAAAAAUGGAGGUGUAACAAGCAAAAAGGCCAGAAAAAUUGAA